GACAGUGUCUUGUCAAAAUCCCUUGGUCAUUUUGCAUCUUGGUCUUACUUUCAUAAAACCCUGACAGUCAGGAGACAAAAAUAACCUCUAACCCAAAUCUCUAGAUGAUUGUGAAGGAGAGUUGAAAAGCAGAGAACAUUCUCAAGCCAGUGAAUCACAUGGGAUCCACAACCCUUUAAGACGAAACAGCAAAGAAUUAGAGCCACCUGACAUGUCUGAAAGUGGUCCACUACAUAACUCUGUGAAUGGAUUGUGAUUUUCUGGAGACAAUAACUGGAAGUUCACCUGUCAAGCUUUAAGAAAGACAAAACACUGUGAAGUAUCAACUUUAGUCAAUACAUCUUUUGCACUGUAUUCCAAGUCUACCGAUGCAAUGUGAAGCUUUGUGUGAGGAACAAACUGAUUUUCCUCCCAUGAACUACAGCAUUUUAAUUUUCAAAGAGAUUUGUUAAAAGGAACUGUUGAAUCUUAUUUAAUUCAUGUCUGACUUCUGGUGAACCAUAGUUAAAGCUGCGGUAGGGAACUUUUGACGCUCUAGCGGUUAAUAAACAGAACAGAAUAUUAAUAUACAGUUUUGUUGCCAACUGCCUCAUAUUAUGUUUGAGGCCUGUACCAAUAAUGUUUUUUUGUAACAUUUUCUUUACCUCCCAUGUCUUCAAAGCAAUAUUUCUGUAAAAAUAAAUUAUUUCUUUGAUAGAUUUUGUUUUGUUGACACAACAUUGUGCUUCAACAUUAAAGCAGAUUAGAAUGCAGCCUGGAAUAAAAAAAUAUUUUGGACCAGCUCAUUCUGAUUUCCAUACAUUAUCUCCAGUUAUUCUGGGACUUAACUGUGUUAAACAACUGUGUUUUAAAGAAGUUGUGUUGCCAUUACAAAGAGACAAUGUUUAUUAAGCAAGUUUGUUUAAAUAGUUCGAAAUUCUUUUAAUUUCAUUGCUUUAAAUUUUUAUGAGUUGAUCCUUGAACUAAUCUGAACCUUUGUAGUUGACUCUAAUAUUGCCAAGUUUUGUAUACUCUGCAUAAAAUCUUUAAUGAUAAACAAAGCCACACUUGCUGUAUACUUAAUUUAUUAAACUGAUUUUAUGUGGUUUAAAGGGUGUUUUAUUUCACAUAAUAGCUAUUUCACAACCGUUUAAAAAAAUUAUAUGUGUAAGAAGAGGUGUGUAGGCAAGGCAGAUCAA